GCUAUUGUGCUCCUCUUCCGAGAGGUUCUUGUAGGACACGAGGGGAAUGUUAUACUUUGUGGCUGGUGAGGGGUCCACUCCCUGGAGCCAAGGGUGGCUUUCAAUCUCUUACAGAGAGGCUCUCCUUUUGGGGUCUCUCUGCAGCAUCCGUGUGAUUAAAGGCUACUGCAGGGGCAUCGUAUUCAUCGCCAAGCAGGAUUUCCGGAGCAGAGUACGCAAGAGACCCCAGCUUGUAGUGAGCUUCUUUCCAGGCUGAAACUUGUUGCUGAAGCCAAAGUCUGUCAACUUCACAAGGACUUGUUUUUCAAAAAAGACUACAUUCUCUGGUUUCAAGUCUCUGUGAACCACAUGGAGUUUAUGGCAAUAGGAUAUAGCGUGAACCAUCUGAGCAAAGUACUUCUUGGCCAAGUCUUCAUUAAGACCCUCCUCGUGCUUCAUUAUGUAAUCAAACAUAUCUCCUCCAUCUCCAAGUUCUAGAAUGAGAUACAGUUUGGUCUGGGUGUCUAUGACCUCAUAGAGACGCACGAUGUUGCGGUGCUGCACUAACUUCAUGCACCUGACUUCCUGGAAGAG
rnacentral:lncRNA from 1 species